rnacentral:misc_RNA from 1 species
CUCUUCGAUAAUUAGAAGUGAAAAGGAUUUGAUACCGGAAGUAAGAGGCGGCCAACAGUUUGACGGAACGAAAGUAAUCUCCGGCUACUCCAAAGUGCAGCAUCAAGAUCCACGUCGAGUCGUCGAUGAUGUCGAUGAUGAAGCUGCAGAUAAUUCCGGAAAAGCAACGAAACCGGAGGACGUUUCAACGGAACCCCAACUCGCUAUGUAAGAGCGAGUGUAUAUCCCAAAAACGAAAAACGAAAAAAUCAAAAGUCAA